rnacentral:rRNA from 1 species
CGUGUAGGCGGUCUGGAAAGUCAUGGUUGAAAUCCCGCGGCUCAACCGCGGAACUGGCUGUGAAACUACCAGACUUGAGGAUAGCAGGGGGGUGUGGAACGAUCGGUGGAGCGGUGAAAUGCGUAGAUAUCGGUCGGAACACCGGUGGCGAAGGCGACACCCUGGGCUAUUCCUGACGCUGAGGCGCGAAAGCGUGGGGAGCAAACA